GUUGGUAUUGCUUAGGGGUUAAAGCACUUCAUUGUGGAACACAAUCUGAAGAGCCGCUAGUUCGAUUCCAGCUACCGACA